rnacentral:rRNA from 1 species
AGUGAACGCUGGCGGUAGGCCUAACACAUGCAAGUCGAACGGCAGCACAGAGGAGCUUGCUCCUUGGGUGGCGAGUGGCGGACGGGUGAGGAAUACAUCGGAAUCUACUUUUUCGUGGGGGAUAACGUAGGGAAACUUACGCUAAUACCGCAUACGACCUACGGGUGAAAGCAGGGGACCUUCGGGCCUUGCGCGAUUGAAUGAGCCGAUGUCGGAUUAGCUAGUUGGCGGGGUAAAGGCCCACCAAGGCGACGAUCCGUAGCUGGUCUGAGAGGAUGAUCAGCCACACUGGAACUGAGACACGGUCCAGACUCCUACGGGAGGCAGCAGUGGGGAAUAUUGGACAAUGGGCGCAAGCCUGAUCCAGCCAUAACGCGUGGGUGAAGAAGGCCUUCGGGUUGUAAAGCCCUUUUGUUGGGAAAGAAAUCCAGCUGGCUAAUACCCGGUUGGGAUGACGGUACCCAAAGAAUAAGCACCGGCUAACUUCGUGCCAGCCGCCGCUGUAAAAC